GACGGGUGAGUAAUGUCUGGGAAACUGCCUGAUGGAGGGGGAUAACUACUGGAAACGGUGGCUAAUACCGCAUAACGUCGCAAGACCAAAGAGGGGGACCUUCGGGCCUCUUGCCAUCAGAUGUGCCCAGAUGGGAUUAGCUUGUUGGUGAGGUAACGGCUCACCAAGGCGACGAUCCCUAGCUGGUCUGAGAGGAUGACCAGCCACACUGGAACUGAGACACGGUCCAGACUCCUACGGGAGGCAGCAGUGGGGAAUAUUGCACAAUGGGCGCAAGCCUGAUGCAGCCAUGCCGCGUGUAUGAAGAAGGCCUUCGGGUUGUAAAGUACUUUCAGCGGGGAGGAAGGUGUUGUGGUUAAUAACCGCAGCAAUUGACGUUACCCGCAGAAGAAGCACCGGCUAACUCCGUGCCAGCAGCCGCGGUAAUACGGAGGGUGCAAGCGUUAAUCGGAAUUACUGGGCGUAAAGCGCACGCAGGCGGUCUGUCAAGUCGGAUGUGAAAUCCCCGGGCUCAACCUGGGAACUGCAUUCGAAACUGGCAGGCUUGAGUCUUGUAGAGGGGGGUAGAAUUCCAGGUGUAGCGGUGAAAUGCGUAGAGAUCUGGAGGAAUACCGGUGGCGAAGGCGGCCCCCUGGACAAAGACUGACGCUCAGGUGCGAAAGCGUGGGGAGCAAACAGGAUUAGAUACCCUGGUAGUCCACGCCGUAAACGAUGUCUACUUGGAGGUUGUGCCCUUGAGGCGUGGCUUCCGGAGCUAACGCGUUAAGUAGACCGCCUGGGGAGUACGGCCGCAAGGUUAAAACUCAAAUGAAUUGACGGGGGCCCGCACAAGCGGUGGAGCAUGUGGUUUAAUUCGAUGCAACGCGAAGAACCUUACCUGGUCUUGACAUCCACAGAACUUUCCAGAGAUGGAUUGGUGCCUUCGGGAACUGUGAGACAGGUGCUGCAUGGCUGUCGUCAGCUCGUGUUGUGAAAUGUUGGGUUAAGUCCCGCAACGAGCGCAAC
rnacentral:rRNA from 1 species